rnacentral:rRNA from 1 species
UACGUAGGUGGCAAGCGUUGUCCGGAAUUAUUGGGCGUAAAGCGCGCGCAGGCGGUCCUUUAAGUCUGAUGUGAAAGCCCACGGCUCAACCGUGGAGGGUCAUUGGAAACUGGGGGACUUGAGUGCAGAAGAGGAGAGUGGAAUUCCACGUGUAGCGGUGAAAUGCGCAGAUAUCAGGAAGAACACCCGUGGCGAAGGCGGCUCUCUGGGACGGUACUGACGCUGAGACGCGAAAGCGUGGGGAGCGAACAGG